UACGUAGGGGGCAAGCGUUGUCCGGAUUCAUUGGGCGUAAAGAGCGUGUAGGCGGCCAGGUAGGUCGGUUGUGAAAACUGGAGGCUCAACCUUCAGAGGUCGACCGAAACCAUCUGGCUAGAGUCCGGGAGAGGAGAGUGGAAUUCCCGGUGUAGCGGUGAAAUGCGCAGAUAUCGGGAAGAACACCCGUGGCGAAGGCGGUUCUCUGGGACGGUACUGACGCUGAGACGCGAAAGCGUGGGGAGCGAACAGG
rnacentral:rRNA from 1 species